AGAGUUUGAUCAUGGCUCAGAUUGAACGCUGGCGGCAUGCCUUACACAUGCAAGUCGAACGGUAACAGGUCUUCGGAUGCUGACGAGUGGCGAACGGGUGAGUAAUACAUCGGAACGUGCCCGAUCGUGGGGGAUAACGGAGCGAAAGCUUUGCUAAUACCGCAUACGAUCUACGGAUGAAAGCAGGGGACCGCAAGGCCUUACGCGGACGGAGCGGCCGAUGGCAGAUUAGGUAGUUGGUGGGAUAAAAGCUUACCAAGCCGACGAUCUGUAGCUGGUCUGAGAGGACGACCAGCCACACUGGGACUGAGACACGGACCAGACUCCUACGGGAGGCAGCAGUGAGGAAUAUUGGACAAUGGGCGCAAGCCUGAUCCAGCCAUGCCGCGUGCAGGAUGACGGUCCUAUGGAUUGUAAACUGCUUUUGUACGAGAAGAAACACUGCUUCGUGAAGCAGCUUGACGGUAUCGUAAGAAUAAGGAUCGGCUAACUCCGUGCCAGCAGCCGCGGUAAU
rnacentral:rRNA from 1 species